rnacentral:piRNA from 1 species
CAGCCAGGGCUGUUAAGCAGAAACU